CUCCCUCCUUGGGCUCCCAAAGUGCUGGAAUUACAGGGAGUAGAUUCUGCUAUCUUGGCCUCACAGCCCUUCCUGUUGAUUACAAAACCCAUGGAAGAAAACAGAACACGCCCUUCUCAGUUCCGUCUAAAUGUGUUUCUUCUACUUCAGUUACGCCAGUUCUGGGGCAAAGACACUGACGAAACAACACCUAUACCUGAAAAAGAAUAAAUGUGUGACUUUCAAAUCCCCUUUCCCAGUGAAAGAAACAGCAAACACUUCAGAUUCAGCAUCUGUUCUCCAGUUGCACUGAGGAAUGCACUGUCUCACAGCACCAGCUCUGCAGAGCCCUUGCCCCCGGACUCUUUGCGGUUUUAUUUAUAUGUAUUUCCAUAUUUCAUUCCUGUAUGUCACUGCUGCAUUGGUGUGGCAGCAAGUGACCAAAUGCUACAGGUCUUACUAUGGACACCAGGUCAGGUGCAACUACACAAAACAAAGCCAGUUCCAUGAGCUGCCUAUGAUAUGCAUUGCGGAAGUAACAUUUUACCCAGGGUGUGCCGUUGCAGUGAUAUAAAUAUAUUUUUUUUCUUAGACUAAAUAUGAGCUGACUAUCUCUUUUGAUGUGUGUACAUAGGUGUGAGUGUGUGUGUAUGCGUGCGUGUCUGUGUGUGGAUGUGGAUGUGUGUAGCCUCAUGCUUAGGACUACCCGUGAAUGUUAUGGAAUGCUACACCUGGAGAGUUCUAGUUUUCCACCGGUUUCAAGAUGAAGAACCACAUGAUGCAGUGGACCUGGAGACCGUCCCCUUGGAAAGACAACCCAGAGAUGUUCAGCAUCCUGGAUCUAUACGUGUAUUUUGUAGCCGUCACACUAACCUUAAUAAGAAUUCUACAGCUUUGGACAGAGGCAUUUUCACCUUAAUGGUGAAGUAAUUGAAAAUAUAAAUCCAUUCAGGUGACAACCCAUCGUCAAAAUUACACAUUCUGAUUGAACUCAUCUGAAUCAUCAGUUCCUCGACGGAGAGAGAGAAGGAGAUGGAAUGUGUUUGGUAACCCCAAAUGGAGUACAAGUAGCCUUUGUUUUCCUGCAUAAAUGGACUUGUUGAAUGCGAACAAAUAUAUGCAAUUCAUAUACUUUUGGAGAUGAACGUAGAUAUGUGUGUCAGCUUUGAGAUGGUGUGUCCUGGAUUAAUACUUUGUCUCCCAAUAUCACAGAAAAAUGCAUGCCAGUGACUCCUGAGGUUAAGGUCGUUGGGAUGAAAUGGCCUCAGGCAAUUUCAGAUUCCCUAAUUACCAGGAAAGUUCUACAGUAAUUAAUACACAGCUAACUCCUAUUGCCCUCACAAGAGCAUCAGCCUUCUAGGAUCAGAGCUCCGGAGUGUGAAGAUUCAGUAUUGAUAAGAUAAUGUAUACCAAACUCCAGCCAACUUACUGCCAUUUUUCAUAAUCUGAGUGGCUGCCUUGCUUAUCCUAAGCUAUGGUUGCAGAAACUGUGGCCAUUUAUAUAAGCUAUAACAUCAAAUCAGGGAAAAA
rnacentral:lncRNA from 1 species